AGGGUUUGAUUCUGGCUCAGGACGAACGCUGGCGGCGUGCUUAACACAUGCAAGUCGAACGGACGACCCGGAUAGAAUCCUUCGGGAGGAAGUGCGGGAAGUUAGUGGCGGACGGGUGAGUAACGCGUGGGUAACCUGGCCCUUAAAUGGGGACAACAGUUGGAAACGACUGCUAAUACCGAAUGUGAUCAUGUUGACGCAUGUUGAGAUGAUGAAAGGUGGCUGAGCUUGAUGCUACCGUUAAGGGAUGGACCCGCGUCUGAUUAGCUAGUUGGUGGGGUAGAGGCCUACCAAGGCGACGAUCAGUAGCCGACCUGAGAGGGUGAUCGGCCACAUUGGGACUGAGACACGGCCCAG
rnacentral:rRNA from 1 species